rnacentral:rRNA from 1 species
GAUGAACGCUGGCGGCGUGCCUAAUACAUGCAAGUCGAGCGAACAGACGAGGAGCUUGCUACUCUGACGUUAGCGGCGGAAGGGUGAGUAACAAGUGGAUAACCUACCUAUAAGACUGGGAUAAAUUCGGGAAACCGGAGCUAAUACCGGAUAAUAUAUUGAACCGCAUGGUUCAAUAGUUAAAGAAGGUUUUGCUGUCACUUAUAGAUGGAUCCGCGCCGCAUUAGCUAGUUGGUAAGGUAACGGCUUACCAAGGCGACGAUGCGUAGCCGACCUGAGAGGGUGAUCGGCCACACUGGAACUGAGACACGGCCCAGACUCCUACGGGAGGCAGCAGUAGGGAAUCUUCCGCAAUGGGCGAAAGCUUGACGGAGCAACGCCGCGUGAGUGAUGAAGGUCUUCGGAUCGUAAAACUCUGUUAUUAGGGAAGAACAAAUGUGUAAGGAACUAUGCACGUCUUGACGGUACCUAAUCAGAAAGCCACGGCUAACUACGUG